GGCCGUGUGGCUUAGUGGUUAGAGUUUGGAUCUGGGAGUCAGAAGGACCUGGGUUCUUAUCCCGGCUCUGCCA
rnacentral:tRNA from 1 species